rnacentral:rRNA from 1 species
GCCGUUCUCAGUUCGGAUCGGAGUCUGCAACCCGACUCCGUGAAGCUGGAUUCGCUAGUAAUCGCGCAUCAGCCAUGGCGCGGUGAAUACGUUCCCGGGCCUUGUACACACCGCCCGUCAAGCCAUGGGAGCCGGGGGUGCUUGAAGUGCGUCGCCGCAAGGCGCGCCCUAGAGCAAAACCGGUGACUGGGGCUAAGUCGUAACAAGGUAAC